rnacentral:rRNA from 1 species
UGGGGAAUAUUGCACAAUGGGCGGAAGCCUGAUGCAGCGACGCCGCGUGGGGGAUGACGGCCUUCGGGUUGUAAACCCCUUUCAGCAGGGAAGAAGCCGCAAGGUGACGGUACCUGCAGAAGAAGCGCCGGCUAACUACGUGCCAGCAGCCGCGGUAAUACGUAGGGCGCGAGCGUUAUCCGGAAUUAUUGGGCGUAAAGAGCUCGUAGGCGGCUUGUCGCGUCUGCUGUGAAAGCCCGGGGCUCAACCCCGGGUCUGCAGUGGGUACGGGCAGGCUGGAGUGCAGUAGGGGAGACUGGAAUUCCUGGUGUAGCGGUGAAAUGCGCAGAUAUCAGGAGGAACACCGAUGGCGAAGGCAGGUCUCUGGGCUGUAACUGACGCUGAGGAGCGAAAGCAUGGGGAGCGAACAGG